rnacentral:lncRNA from 1 species
GGCCGUGCCCCCCCAGAUCGCCAGCCUGCGCUUCGUGUUCCUCAUCAACCACGAACUGAUCGCGCUGAUCCGCAGCGAGGCCGCGCGGCUCGGCCAGGGACAGGGACAGGGACAGGGACAGCACCAGUGACACCAGUAACGGACCAGUAACACCAGUAACACCAGUAACAGAGCCAUGGACAGAGCCAGGGACAGCACCAGUGACACCAGUAACGGACCAGUGACACCAGUGACACCAGUUGACACCAGGGACAGGGAUAGGGACAGGGACAGCACCAGUGACACCAGUAACGGACCAGUGACACCAGUAACACCAGUAACACCAGUGACACACCAGUGACACCAGUAACACCAGUAACAGAGCCAUGGACAGAGCCAGGGACAGCACCAGUGACACCAGUAACGGACCAGUGACACCAGUGACACCCCUGUGACACCAGUCUGGGACUGGGACUCUCCCAGUUUGAACCUUGGACCCUCCCAGUUUGGGACUGGAACCCUCCCAGUGCUCCCAGUUUGAACCUGGCACCCUCCCAGUUUGAGACUGGGACCCUCCCAGUGACACCCCAGUGACACCAGUCUGGGACUGGGACCCUCCCAGUGCUCCCAGUCUGGGAUUGGGACCCUCCAGUGCUCCCAGUUUGGGACUGGGACGCUCCCAGUUUGGGACUGAGACCUUCCCAGUGCUCCCAGUUUGGGACUGGGACCCUCCCAGUGCUCCCAGUUUGAGCCUUGGACCCUCCCAGUUUGGGACUGGGACCCUCCCAGUGCUCCCAGUUUGAACCUCAGACCCUCCCAGUUUGGGACUGGGGCUCUCCCAGUGACACCAGUUCGAGACUGGGACC